AAACCAUGAUUAGGGUAUUUCCUCAACAAAGAUUUAAAGCACUCCAAAGCUUCACAAAAAUAUUCAUUAGCCCCUUGACAAAACACUAAAAUGUAAUAUUUAGCAGU